AUUGAACGCUGGCGGCAGGCCUAACACAUGCAAGUCGAGCGGAUGAAGGGAGCUUGCUCCUGGAUUCAGCAGCGGACGGGUGAGUAAUGCCUAGGAAUCUGCCUGGUAGUGGGGGAUAACGUCCGGAAACGGGCGCUAAUACCGCAUACGUCCUGAGGGAGAAAGUGGGGGAUCUUCGGACCUCACGCUAUCAGAUGAGCCUAGGUCGGAUUAGCUAGUUGGUGGGGUAAAGGCCUACCAAGGCGACGAUCCGUAACUGGUCUGAGAGGAUGAUCAGUCACACUGGAACUGAGACACGGUCCAGACUCCUACGUGAGGCAGCAGUGGGGAAUAUUGGACAAUGGGCGAAAGCCUGAUCCAGCCAUGCCGCGUGUGUGAAGAAGGUCUUCGGAUUGUAAAGCACUUUAAGUUGGGAGGAAGGGCAGUAAGUUAAUACCUUGCUGUUUUGACGUUACCAACAGAAUAAGCACCGGCUAACUUCGUG
rnacentral:rRNA from 1 species